UCUGCUCCACGAGCUGUGCUGUCUGCCUGUAGGAAAGCACUGGGUACAGCAAGGCACCUUGUGUGGCUCCCUAAUAAAGUAUUUAUUUAUUUCAAAUAAAUGUCAUAGAAGGGCAAAGGUGUUAGUGAUAAUUAAAUCCCUGCCUGAUUGGGGAAAAUAAUCUUACGAUGGAAGUGCCAAGCUGUAGCAUGAACUCAUUGGCUGAUUAGACACCAACGAAAAGUUCUCAGCAAUGUCUUUCCCAUUAGAAAUGCUUUGUUUGGAGCUUGUUACCUCAGUCAGGUUAUCCAGGCUCUUGCAGUCAGCACAGUCUGGCAUUCCCAAACACAGUAGCUUUGCUCCUAGAGAAACGAUUGGGAACGACAGAGGGGAAGGAAAAGUAAAGUUAUUCAUUAGCAGCUGAGCUGAGAAAAGAACACAGAGGGUUGCAUUUGGGCAAGUGAUAAAUCCCCACAUGGCUUGCAGUAUGCUGGGUGUGCCAGGGAAUUUCAUGCCUUCCAGAAUAUUCCCAAGGGUCCCAAGUGUACAUGGGGUUUUUUCCUAAAUGGAUGGAGUUAGAAUGACACAGCCUUGCCUCCCUGGGGACACUAGAAAAGCAACCAAGAUGUGCCUAAUUAAGGCAUAAUUUAUUUUUCUCUUCUGCAGCAGCUACUGCUAUUCUGUUAGACAGAUAAAGCAGCACAUUAGGAAGGCACAUAAACUGUGCUGCCAGGGAAACCUGACUUUGGUUCUUGUUUCCUUUCUUCCUUUAAUCCCACAUAUGGUAUCCCUGCUGAGAGCAGACUGGUAGGAGCUUGUGAAUAAUGGAGAGGGGUAAUACUGAGCAAAGUCAUCCCAAUGCACAUCUGCUGCACACAGUGUUUGUAGUUAACCCUUUCUUUUUAACAGGUGCUUCUAAGGUAGGUAGUUGCAUGCAUAGAAAUUGAAAAUAUAUGACGAGAAGAAAUAGUCAGGCUACCAGAGAUGCAUAAGUAGUAAACACCUGCUAGGUUUGGAUUUUUUUUCCCCAGGGUAUCUAUUUUCUCGAAUGAAGUGGUCAUCCUAGACAGGCCCAUCAAGAUGCAAGGCAGGGUUAGUAAGUGGUGCAGUAGCCUGGAACAAGGGUGGGCUCCUCAGAGACUGGUACAGCUCAGGUGCCUCUUCCUGCAUGUUAAAGAAGCAAAAUCUACCAUGUAGAAAGGUGAAGAAAAGAGGGCUGUGAGGAGAGGCUGUGCUGCUAAAGGCUGGGUUUGGAGGCAGCAUGCUCUGGAGAGGACAGCAGAGGAGAGGAAGGCAGAACUGGCUGCCUCUUCCUUGUGUGCCACAUGUAGCUCUGGGCACAUCUCACAGAUGAUCUUUUGAUCUCCUUGUAAACUAGAGCUGAUAGAACUUACCUAACUGUCUCUUUCACAAGGUUUUGGAGAAGGUUGGUUAUUUUAUUAGGAGUAAUUUAUCAUGAUGACUCCUAUGUAGAGUACUUUUUGGAGGAAGCCCUAGUAGGCAAGCUCUAAACUUGCCUUUAGACAUGAGUGCUGUUCAAAGUCUUGCAGGACCUGGGAAAGGCAGGGAGGAAAGUGUCUUCCUGAAGCUGUGGGCUGUUGGCAGAGCUGAAAAGUGGACUGCAGCUGUUCCAUCUGGGAAAUGCUCUGUGAGUGUGGAAUGAUAUAAGAAAUUGUUGACCCUGAAAAUCAGGAAACAGGCUGGACUGGCUCAUCCCUCAUGUGACUGGGCACUCCCUUCUGAUUAUUACCUAGGGCUGUGAUAGCAAAGAACAGGAAUGCAGUCAGGGUGUCACAGAAGGCUCUGACCUGGGCUCUCCAGAUGUGUGCUGGAUGGUCACAACACCUCCCUGCUACUCUUGAGAGCUGCAAAAACUGAGAUGAAAGGCAGAGUAUCAUGCUGCAACUCCAGCAGAAGCUUAUCUGCACACAGAAACAACGCUCACAGGUCAGCUCUUCAUACCAGUUUUGUGAUUGAAAUUAUUUGGCAAAGAGGAAAAAAUGAAGGAUUAAAUCCUCCUGACCUGGGCUGUAGAAGAAGUGUUUCAUUUGUACUAUUUCACUCUUAUAACUGAAAUGGAAUCCCUUUUAUCUUUGCCAAAUCCCAGACUCCAUAUCCAUUUACUUCAGCACACAGAAGGUAAAGGGAUCUCUUCCCAUGAAUCUUGCUCUAAGCUCAUAGAAUUGGUGUUUUCCAAGGCUCUUAGAGCUGGACCCAUUUUCCUCAUGGAAGGAUCCUGGUUCUCAGACAUCUGUAGCAGAAAACUUUCGCCAGUAAAGAACCUGCCCAGCCUUCAGCCCACUCUGCGGGAGUUCUGGGAAAGGCUGAGUUACUGCCAUGGGAGGGUUGUGCCAGCUCACGAAUGGAAGUGAGACUUGCAAAUCAAGGCUGGGAGUCCCAAGGGCAGUACAGAUUCCCCAACCGCUUGUGGAAGCAGUUGUGAUCGCUGUACUUUCCCUCACACACGGAACAGCUUAUACAUGAAGACAGGAGAAACAAAAAGCCGCUGGCAAAAGAGACAACAAAAGCCUUCAGGAGACACUCUCUUAUCUGCAGUUUGCACUCAAAUAACCCGAAAUGGCUGCUUAUCUGUAGCAACAAUGGAGUUCUUACCGAUUUAAAAGUGGAAAAAAUAAACCUCAAACAACCCAGCCCUAGGAGGGCCUAUUGAGUUACUCAGAUAACUAUUCUGCAGUGAUGUCAGGAAGAGAGCAACGAUGAGGUCAUAGGAAAAUUGCAGUGCUUUUCUGCCACUGGGAAUGAAGGAUCCGUCUGCUGAACUCAGGUGAAAAUUUGAAAUAUUGACAUGUUUGGGUUGUGCAAGGCUGAGAUCUCACCACUUGGAAAUCACAGUAAAAUGGUCACCGAUAUUCGCACAGAAUGGGGCUGUUUAAAGAUGCUGGGAUAAAGGAGUGUGAGCACUUCUGUGCUGUAAUAGGAGUUUCAGAACACAUGCCAGCUCGCAGCUCGCAGUGCUCCUUGCAAACAAGGAGCACUGGUGUUAGAGUAGUGCUUAUUUCCUGUUCCCUGUGGACUUCAUCCAAUGCCUCAAAGUCUUGCAAAAGCUCCCAGCUGACUGUGUCUAAACCAAUGCUGUUUCUGUCCAAACCAAGGCAUGGUUUUUAUGCCAUUUUCCCCCAGUUUCAUGCAGAGCAUCCUCCCGUGAGCCAGGGAGGGACACAGACUCGCUGAAUUUAUCAGAAGCUAAAGGAUAUGGUCACACAUGAAAGUCAGCAUUUUAUGUCACUUUUCGUGAUAUCCCCUGUGCCUUGAAGUGACACAAGAGGGAGAAAACAGCUGCCCAGAAAUAUUGUGCAAUUCUGCAUUUUCUUCCAGUGCGGGAAAUUACUUGAGUAAGAAACGGAGCCGGUUGGGCCAAUGUGUUUAUUGCUGCUUGUUUUGGCGUGCAGCCAGUACCCAGAUGAAGCCGGUCCCCCGGGGCUGUAAAUCCCUGCUCUCCUCCCGGCACAGCGGCACCGGCUCUGGUUCCGCAGCAGCAGCGGCGGUGACAGAUGGUCCUGAGGCUGGAGCUGCGUUCCGUAACAGGCGGGGGCUGCCGGCGGCAGGCUCGGGGUACCCCGUCACAGACUGGGGGUACCCGUCACAGACUGGGGGCUCCCCGAGGCUGCCCGGCGCUCUCCGGGCGCUGCGGCCGGCGCUGGGCUGUCCCUGUCCCCUCGCAGCCCGGGCUGCAGCGGCACCUGCCCGGCGCUCUGGUGCCCUCUGCAGCCACCGGGCCGGCCCGGGGAGCGGGGCCGGGCUCCUGCGGGCACUGCAGAGCAUCGCAGGCAAUGAAAAUCGCUAAUCCUGCCGGAGACAGCUGCUUUCGUUAGAUUAACUUCACACGCUGGUGCUCCCCCGGCCCGAGCCGCCGCCUGCGAGAGAGGGAGUCGUGCGGCCACGGAUGUGACUUCUGUAAAACAACCUGGAGACAGAUCCUUCUGCUCUGUAGCUGAGCCGCGGGCAGCACAGAUGAGGGGCCGGCAUGCUUUUGAUGCACAUAAAUCAAGAGCCGUCCUGGAGAAUAGCAGCAGCAUAACCACGCUGAGAGCCAGCCCCCUUGUGCUCCCUGUCCUCCUGCCCCUUGUGUCCAGGGGCUGUUUCAUGCACAAGGAACAUUUACAGUGGGGGCAAACACAAGCUGCUUCCCUCACAUCGAGUCCUGCUUACACAAGCCUCUUGCAUCUACUGUGGACCUAUCAUUUAUGAACCUAAAUAUUCUGCUCUUCAUUAUGCUAUGCAUUUAUUCAUGGCUUUGCCCUGGGAGCCUGAGUUGUGGUCUGCCUCCCCACUGUUUGAAUUACUAAGGAAUAUAGUUACGGGUAGAUCCAGAAUAAGAAAAUUAUGCUUGCCCCAAAACAUUUAAAACCUGUGCUUGUAAGUGUUAUAAAAUAGCAGAGGUGUGUAUAAUUUCUUAACAGACUCACUGCAUAAAUCUUUGUCACAAAUCUACUUUCUCUCACA